rnacentral:rRNA from 1 species
GUCGAGCGGACAGAAGGGAGCUUGCUCCCGGAUGUUAGCGGCGGACGGGUGAGUAACACGUGGGUAACCUGCCUGUAAGACUGGGAUAACUCCGGGAAACCGGAGCUAAUACCGGAUAGUUCCUUGAACCGCAUGGUUCAAGGAUGAAAGACGGUUUCGGCUGUCACUUACAGAUGGACCCGCGGCGCAUUAGCUAGUUGGUGGGGUAAUGGCUCACCAAGGCGACGAUGCGUAGCCGACCUGAGAGGGUGAUCGGCCACACUGGGACUGAGACACGGCCCAGACUCCUACGGGAGGCAGCAGUAGGGAAUCUUCCGCAAUGGACGAAAGUCUGACGGAGCAACGCCGCGUGAGUGAUGAAGGUUUUCGGAUCGUAAAGCUCUGUUGUUAGGGAAGAACAAGUGCGAGAGUAACUGCUCGCACCUUGACGGUACCUAACCAGAAAGCCACGGCUAACUACGUGCCAGCAGCCGCGGUAAUACGUAGGUGGCAAGCGUUGUCCGGAAUUAUUGGGCGUAAAGGGCUCGCAGGCGGUUUCUUAAGUCUGAUGUGAAAGCCCCCGGCUCAACCGGGGAGGGUCAUUGGAAACUGGGAAACUUGAGUGCAGAAGAGGAGAGUGGAAUUCCACGUGUAGCGGUGAAAUGCGUAGAGAUGUGGAGGAACACCAGUGGCGAAGGCGACUCUCUGGUCUGUAA